rnacentral:rRNA from 1 species
GACGAACGCUGGCGGCGUGGAUUAGGCAUGCAAGUCGAACGGUAUCAUCCUUUCGGGGGUGAGAGAGUGGCGAACUGGUGAGUAACACGUAGGAAUCUACCCUUAAGACGGGGACAACCCAGGGAAACUUGGGCUAAUACCGGAUGAGAGUGCGAGAGGUUGCAUUUAAAAGGAUGGCGAAAGUUGUCGCUUAGGGAUGAGCCUGCGGUCUAUUAGUUAGUUGGUGAGGUAAGAGCUCACCAAGGCGAUGAUAGAUAGGCGGCCUUAACGGGUGGUCGCCCACACUGGGAUUGAGAUACGGCCCAGACUCCUACGGGAGGCAGCAGUCGAGAAUAGUCUACAAUGGUCGGAAGACUGAUAGUGCGACGCCGCGUGAACGAUGAAUCCCUUCGGGUGUAAAGUUCUUUUAUAUGUGAGCAGUGCUUCUUAUAUUAACAGUAUGGGGAGAGAGAUAUUAGCAUAUGAAUAAGCAACGGCUAACUCCGUGCCAGCAGCCGAC